rnacentral:rRNA from 1 species
UCCUAGUGAUUAGAGUUUGAUCAUGGCUCAGGAUGAACGCUGGCGGCGUGCUUAACACAUGCAAGUCGAACGAACCUUCGGGUUAGUGGCGGACGGGUGAGUAACGCGUGAGAAUCUGCCCUCAGGAGGGGGAUAACGGUUGGAAACGACCGCUAAUACCCCAUAUGCCUAUUGGUGAAAUGAAUUUCGCCUGAGGAUGAGCUCGCGUCUGAUUAGCUAGUUGGUGAGGUAAUGGCUCACCAAGGCUUCGAUCAGUAGCUGGUCUGAGAGGAUGAUCAGCCACACUGGGACUGAGACACGGCCCAGACUCCUACGGGAGGCAGCAGUGGGGAAUUUUCCGCAAUGGGCGAAAGCCUGACGGAGCAACGCCGCGUGAGGGACGAAGGCCUCUGGGCUGUAAACCUCUUUUCUCAAGGAAGAAGAUAUGACGGUACUUGAGGAAUAAGCCACGGCUAAUUCCGUGCCAGCAGCCGCGGUAAUACGGGAGUGGCAAGCGUUAUCCGGAAUUAUUGGGCGUAAAGCGUCCGCAGGCGGCUUUUCAAGUCUGCUGUUAAAGCGUGGAGCUUAACUCCAUCAUGGCAGUGGAAACUGAAAGGCUUGAGUAUGGUAGGGGCAGAGGGAAUUCCCGGUGUAGCGGUGAAAUGCGUAGAUAUCGGGAAGAACACCAGUGGCGAAGGCGCUCUGCUGGGCCAUUACUGACGCUCAUGGACGAAAGCCAGGGGAGCGAAAGGGAUUAGAUACCCCUGUAGUCCUGGCCGUAAACGAUGAACACUAGGUGUCGGGGGAAUCGACCCCUUCGGUGUCGUAGCUAACGCGUUAAGUGUUCCGCCUGGGGAGUACGCACGCAAGUGUGAAACUCAAAGGAAUUGACGGGGGCCCGCACAAGCGGUGGAGUAUGUGGUUUAAUUCGAUGCAACGCGAAGAACCUUACCAGGGUUUGACAUCCUGCGAACCUCUUAGAAAUUUGAGGGUGCCUUCGGGAAUGCAGUGACAGGUGGUGCAUGGCUGUCGUCAGCUCGUGUCGUGAGAUGUUGGGUUAAGUCCCGCAACGAGCGCAACCCACGUUUUUAGUUGCCAGCAUUUAGUUGGGCACUCUAGAAAGACCGCCGGUGAUAAACCGGAGGAAGGUGUGGAUGACGUCAAGUCAUCAUGCCCCUUACACCCUGGGCUACACACGUACUACAACCCUACGGACAAAGGGCAGCAAACUCGCGAGAGCUAGCAAAUCCCAUAAACCGUGGCUCAGUUCAGAUCGUAGGCUGCAACUCGCCUACGUGAAGUAGGAAUCGCUAGUAAUCGCAGGUCAGCAUACUGCGGUGAAUACGUUCCCGGGCCUUGUAG